CAGUCGCCACGGGAAUACGAAGGGUGCAAGCGUUACUCGGAAUUACUGGGCGUAAAGCGUGCGUAGGUGGUUGUUUAAGUCUGCUGUGAAAGCCCUGGGCUCAACCUGGGAAUUGCAGUGGAUACUGGGCGACUAGAGUAAGGUAGAGGAUAGUGGAAUUUCCGGUGUAGCAGUGAAAUGCGUAGAGAUCGGAAGGAACAUCUGUGGCGAAGGCGACUAUCUGGGCCAACACUGACACUGAGGCACGAAAGCGUGGGGAGCAAACAGGAUUAGAUACCCCUGUAGUCCCUGUCUCUUAUAC
rnacentral:rRNA from 1 species